rnacentral:rRNA from 1 species
AUUGAACGCUGGCGGCAGGCCUAACACAUGCAAGUCGAACGAGCGGCGGACGGGUGAGUAAUGUCUGGGAAACUGCCUGAUGGAGGGGGAUAACUACUGGAAACGGUAGCUAAUACCGCAUACCAUCAGAUGUGCCCAGAUGGGAUUAGCUAGUAGGUGGGGUAAAGGCUCACCUAGGCGACGAUCCCUAGCUGGUCUGAGAGGAUGACCAGCCACACUGGAACUGAGACACGGUCCAGACUCCGACGGGAGGCAGCAGUGGGGAAUAUUGCACAAGGGGCGCAAGCCUGAUGCAGCCAUGCCGCGUGUAUGAAGAAGGCCUUCGGGUUGUAAAGCACUUUCAGCGAGGAGGCGUUACCCGCAGAAGAAGCACCGGCUAACUCCGUGCCAGCAGCCGCGGUAAUUC